ACACAAACACAAACACACACCCCAACACACACGCCCUGUCCCCUUUCUCCACCCUGCAAGCUAGUUGCAUUUAGCUCACAGAGCCUGGGCUGCGACUUGAAAGAGUUUAGGCAGCAACAGAGUGACCCUGGGGGUGCUCUUGACCGACAGCCGCACCCCCGGCGUCUAGGACCUCCGAGCAGGGAUGCAUCUGGAGGUCUAGGGAAGCACUUCCACCCCCUCCUCUCCUCAAUCCUGGCAGGAUGUGCCCGAAAUGCCAGCUCCUCCUUGGUGUUCUCCUUUCAGGAUUUGAAUUCAAAUCCCAUUGGCAGCCCUGAUACCGCUGGGGGAAGGGUGAGGCUACUGCUGCUUCAAGACAGUGACGUUUCUCUCCGGUCAGCUGUCAGGAGCGCUGGUGAGCUUCCUACUGUGCCACAAGCUGGGUCUUACUGGGGAUCUGGCCAGCCUUGGGGGCCCUUGGAGCCCUGGCCCAGUGGAAGCUCGUGCCUGAGGAACAUGGAGGCCACGCUAAUGAUGGAGUCUCACUCUGUCACCCAUGCUGGAGUACAGUGG
ensembl:lncRNA TMEM198B transmembrane protein 198B (pseudogene)